UAAAAGUUGAGUAAAAUAAUUUUUUAAAUGAACGUAGAGUCAAUGAUCAUAAACCUGGGUUGGAUUCUAUUGAUAAUGGGAUCCCUCAGGGCACCGUCUUAGACCCCAUCAUUUAUCUGUUUCCAUUCAGGUAUGUUCACAUGUAGGUCUGCAGAUGGACCCGGAUCACACUGACCCCCUUUACACUGAUACUCUGAUCAGGAUCUGAUUAUUAGUGAUCAU